UAUCUUUCUCCUUCGAACCCUAAAACUCUUCCAACCCUUUGUAUUCACCCUAAAGAAAAAGGCCCUUCCAAGGAACAUCGCCGGAGAACAUCGCUGGCACUCCCUGUUCCGGCACACUAACCUUACCCCUUUUUAAUUCACAAACCCUAACCUAACACCCACCACACUCCCCCUCCCUUUCCCCUCACAACAGCGCCGCAGCCUCACUCCCCCUGUUCCCCUCUCCUGCGCACACAACACAAUACACACACGCACCACCUCACCCACGUGGAAGAGGAGAGCUCGAGGAAGGAGACGCUGCCUUGCUGCCAGCUCCGUCGAAGACCAUCCCGCCGCCGCUGUCGAGUCAAACCCGAGAGAGAGUGUGUGUGUGCGACGAUGAGAAAGGAGAAGCCGUCACCAAACGCGUCGCCGCCGCUAGAGGAGCUUCACUCAUCGCCGUCGCCGAGGAGGGGAAAGAGGAGCUGCUUCCGUCGCGCCAGUCACCGUCGUGCUUCCUGGUUGCCGAUGACGGAGCCAUGAGAACCGUUGCCGUCGCGGAGGAGGGGGACGCGUGAGAGGGAGCCGUCAGUGUGGUCGCCGUCGCAGCUGUUGAGUAAAUCUUCGUGCUUUUUCAGAAAUCGAAGUUUUACAGAUUUGACAAGGAACGGAACUGGUGGAAGGAGAGAACCACAGGUACCGUCAAGUUCCCGAAGAACAAGGUUACUAGAAGCACAAAAUCAUUGCUGAGUGUGGUUCUUUAGCUGUAAGCACUCCAUAUCAUUGAAAAAGGUAAUUCAUGGAGCUUCAAAAGCUUGAGGAGUAUUGCAUGAAUCAGAAAUCCAUUGAUUCGAUGUACAAGGUUUUCCAUUGGAGUAGCUUGUAAUCCUUCUUGGCCUGCUGACCGUCUCAUGAUCCAAGUCCUAGAUGAUUCUACGAAACCCGUGGUUAAGCAAAUGGUGGAAAUGGAAUGUCAGAGAUGGGCGAGCAAAGGGAUAAACAUAACGUACCAAAUAAGAGAGAAUAGAACGGGGUACAAAGUGGGUGCAUUAAACACAAUUUGAUCAUCUGGACACAGGCAUCCUGCACAGGCACACACUUGCUCUCACACUCAUGCACUCAUGGGAAGAAUUUCUAUCAGUUUGUGCUCAAUAACACUGCUAUUUUCAAUUAUAAUUGUAGUUAUACUCAACAUGCUUUAUUGUUGUUGUUUACUUCUUGUUAGCGAGAUAAAUUUUACCAUGAAAGCACUAUCAGAAACUUACUGAUCAAUUUUGCUCCUUUGUCCAUGAUAUGCAUUUCAUGACAAUUUUCAUUUAUAAGGUUAUAUAACCUAUGGCCAUAUCAUAGUUGCUUGUUAUUUUCCUAUGCAAUUUGACCAUAACCUAAUUAGUCCUGGUAGCAAAUUGAGUUCAAAGUUGGACUUCAUGCUGAGUUCUGUGUUGAAGUGGAAUCUGAUUAGCAUCACUUCAAAGGAAAAGAACAGAAUACAAGGCACUCUUUUUUAUGGAUUUAAGCAUCCAUCACUCUAACAUAUGUUGUCAGUUUGUCACAUUAAAAUAUUGGUCUUUUAUUUUAUGCUGUUUGCUAUUCCCUUUAAGGUAUUUACAGACAUAUUUUAGUUUGUAAAUCCACUUCACAUUGCAUAUGCAUCAUUUUGGCCGUUUCAAUAAUUAGCUUGACUUAUUUACAAGCAACUUUUAGUAUUAUUAUUAUUGAAUGGUAACCUUUCGAUGGCUUGAAGUGUCGCUUACAACUGUUCUAGUGUGCCUAGGUUAGGUCUUGUGUUUAUAUAUUAAUCUAUCGAUUCUCAUGGUAUUGUUUCCAGGCUGAGGAGAGGCACACUGAGAUUCUUGGCCGCCUUCUCUACACCGCAAAACUGGUUGCAAAGCAAGAAGGCCUUGACGAUGGCUUCAGAAUUGUAAUCAACGAUGGACCAAAAGGCUGCCAAUCAGUGUACCACAUUCAUGUGCACCUUCUCGGAGGGCGACAAAUGAACUGGCCCCCUGGCUAAAACCUCCUGUGAUUGAAGGGCUAUCUAUCAAUAACGAAUUCAAAUUACCAAGAGACUAUGGUGAUGAGUUGGAUUGUCUAUUCUAAUCUAUGUUUAAAUUGGUGUGUUUAAUAUUUGAUGAAGUGAAAUUCUCUAGUUGUUACUAUUAUCUAUGCCAUUAUAUUGGUCAAUCCAACAUUAAUAUCAUGAUUGUAGGUUGUUUGUGGAUUA